AGUGAACGCUGGCGGUAGGCCUAACACAUGCAAGUCGAACGGCAGCACAGUAAGAGCUUGCUCUUACGGGAGGCGAGUGGCGGACGGGUGAGGAAUACAUCGGAAUCUACUUUUUCGUGGGGGAUAACGUAGGGAAACUUACGCUAAUACCGCAUACGACCUACGGGUGAAAGUAGGGGAUCUUCGGACCUUGCGCGAUUGAAUGAGCCGAUGUCGGAUUAGCUAGUUGGCGGGGUAAAGGCCCACCAAGGCGACGAUCCGUAGCUGGUCUGAGAGGAUGAUCAGCCACACUGGACCUGCGACACGGUCCAGACUCCUACGGGAGGCAGCAGUGGGGAAUAUUGGACAAUGGGCGCAAGCCUGAUCCAGCCAUACCGCGUGGGUGAAGAAGGCCUUCGGGUUGUAAAGCCCUUUUGUUGGGAAAGAAAAGCAGCAGGUUAAUACCCCGCUGUUCUGACGGUACCCAAAGAAUAAGCACCGGCUAACUUCGUG
rnacentral:rRNA from 1 species